rnacentral:tRNA from 2 species
GCGGGAGUAGCUCAGAUGGUAGAGCAUCAGCCUUCCAAGCUGAGGGUCGCGGGUUCGAAUCCCGUCUCCCGCUCCA